CGGAGUGUGGCGCAGCUUGGUAGCGCACUUGCAUGGGGUGCAAGGGGUCGUAGGUUCGAAUCCUAUCACUCCGACCA
rnacentral:tRNA from 2 species